GCAGAACUGUGUAAUCAAAUGAUAGUUUCCUUUUUCGCCAAUGGUGGAAUGUUGCUUCAUGGUGGAGUCGGUGUAAAUAUUCGGUACAUAUUAGAUAAUUUGCAUCCAGAGAUUAAUUUACAGCAAUAUAUUAUUGUUAGUUGUCUUGUCUUUAAUGCUUGGAAUGCAGAUUAUCCCUUGUUUUAUUUAUGCAAAAUAGUUUAGUCGAUCUGAUGUCGCACAAACCAUAGAGAAGCAUACUAUAAAUCUAAUAGGUAACAUUUAGUUAACAGAAAUAUUUGCCACAUAUUGUUACUUAUUCAUGUUCAUUCUUAUGGUUUGCAGUUUUUGCUCCGACUAUAUGAUAUAUAUGACCAGGAACCAUGUGUUUGAGAUGAUAUAUAUUCUAUCAUGCUUAUGCAGUUACUUUGAGAGAGAACAUUAGCUAUGUUUU
rnacentral:lncRNA from 1 species